ACUCCGGUACAAGUCAUAACCAUAUCCAGAUCUGGUUUGUAUAGGUGACUGAGAUAACCUCAGCCUCAUCUCAGGAAGUGGCCACUUUUGGAGAGUCCGACUAUCACGGUAGGCACAGAACUCUGCCAUGUCACUAGCUGAAUGACCUCGGAUGUCACUUCAACUCUGAGCCUUAGAACUUGUCAACUGCAAAGUGGGGCACUUCACCGAGCUACAUCAUUGAGCUACUUCACUGAGCUACUUCAUUGAAUUGGGAAAAUUAAAGGAGCAAAUAUGGGAGAAGGAUUUGGCCCAUAGUAAACACUAUGACUGUCCGUCUUCUGCCAUCUUUCAGUAGACCCAGUGGAAUUAUAUGAAGGUUGAUAGGCACUUAAACCAAGAAUAUAUGAACAUCUAUUCUGUGCAAGAUGUGUGCAUUGAACUCAGUCCAGGACUGAAGGGGACAGGAGGAAGAUCUUUAAUAAAUGAAAUAAAUGUGACUGUAUGUCCUACAUCCCAUUCCUGUUGUCUUCCAUGUCUCCUCAGAGAUUGUGCCUGCAGCCUGGCCUGUUGCCCACAGCGGUCUACCUGCCACACUGGGAAAGAUCGAGCAGAGACAGAGAAGAAAAGGAGGCUCCAUUUUUCAGGCUGCUCUCCCGCAGGCUCAUGUUUUGUGUUCAUGCCAGGCAGAGAACACAAAAUGUUCCAAUAAAUAAGUAUCAAAGGUUAGUGGUGAAAAUGAAGGAGGAGGAGGCAUUGCGUGAAAAACUAAACAUGCAAAAUAUUACACACAAAGAGAACCAAAAUGCAGGUUCACUGGAAAUGAUAGACAAUAUGUUAAAACAAGAGGAGAGAAGAGAGCUGAAAUAAUCAAAUGGAAACACACAAUUUAGGGCUAAGAUCUUGUUGUGUUCAGCCACAAAUGAUGGCCAGCAGUGAGGAAUCUGUGUGUUCUCCACACUCUUCGCUCCUGGGAAGUCAACUCACAUGGACCAUGAUAUCAAUAUCUGCUCCUUCCCCUAAUAUCUGUUUGACCUUGGGUCAGUUACUUAAACUUCCUAAGCCUUAGUUUCUUUGUCUGGAAAAUAGGGAUAGUUAUACCUACCACACAACCACUUUGUAAUGAAUAUGUUGGAAAUUAUAUGCAAAUUGGCUUCCGUUGGUGUUUGGAACAUAGUAGGUUUUUAACUGGAAUAUAAUAGCUACCAUUAUCAGUAUCAUCAUAUUAAUUUAUAUUUCCAUCUUCAGCCCUUAACCCAGGAUCUUCAGUAAAUGUUGAAUUCUCAAAUUUGUUAAAUUCACUUGUCUAUACUAAUAUUUUACUCUAGGUUUCUUAGAAUAUUCUAGAUAAUAUUAUUAUGUAGAAUAUGUUAUGUAAGCUUCAUCUUAUCUGUAAAUAUAGUUUUACUUUUUCCUUUCUAAUUUUUAUGUCGAUUACUUCUUUUUCUUGGCUUAUUGAAUUGGCUAGGAUUCCCGUACAGUGUUGAAUACGUGCAGCAAGACUGCACAUCUUGCCUUGUUCCUGGUCCCACAGAGAGAAUAUCCAGUACUUCACAAUAAGUAUGUGUUAAUUGUAGAUUUUAUUAGAUUGAGGAAGUUCCCUUUCCUUUCAAGUCAGUCUUUUUAUUUUAAACAUGUAUUGAAGUUUUGUCAAAUGUCUUCAUCUAUUGGAAUAAUUAUACAUAUCUCUUUUUUAUUCUGUUAAUAUUACAUUUCAAUCUUCUGUCUACCUAAAAUCCCUAGAAUAAUCUCCAUUUGGCUAUGAUGUGUUGUGCUUUUAUAUAUUACUGAAUUCUAUAUGCCAAUAUUAUUAAAAUUUUCUGUCUUUAUGAGAAA
ensembl:lncRNA CCDC26 CCDC26 long non-coding RNA